AUUGAACGCUGGCGGCAGGCCUAACACAUGCAAGUCGAACGGAUGCACGGGGGUUUGCCCCGGAUGGCGAGGGGCGGAGGGGGGAGGUGCCCAUCGGUACAUGUCCUGUUGGGGGGGAUAGCCCGGAGAAAGCCGGAGUAAUCACGCAGACGAUCUACGGGUGAGAGGGGGGGCCCCUGGGGCCUCGCGCUAUGGGGUUGGUCGAGGGCUGAUUAGCUAGUUGGUGGGGUAAAGGCCUACAAAGGCGACGACCAGUAUCUGGUAUGAGAGGACGACCAGCCACACUGGAACUGAGACACGGCCCAGACUCCUACGGGAGGCAGCAGUGGGGAAUCUUGGACAAUGGGCGAAAGCCUGAUCCAGCAAUGCCGCGUGUGUGAAGAAGGCCUUCGGGUUGUAAAGCACUUUAGGCCGGAAGGAAGUCCAGUGCUUUAAUACGGGCAGGUGAUGACGGUACCAGAAGAAUAAGCCCCGGCUAACUACGUG
rnacentral:rRNA from 1 species